AACUUUCAGCAACGGAUCUCUUGGCUCUCGCAUCGAUGAAGAACGCAGCGAAAUGCGAUAAGUAAUGUGAAUUGCAGAAUUCAGUGAAUCAUCGAAUCUUUGAACGCACCUUGCGCCCCUUGGCUAUUUUGAGGGGCAUGCCUGUUUGAGUAUCAUGAA
rnacentral:rRNA from 1 species